ensembl:lncRNA
GCGGGGUCUACGAAUCAAAACAAACUCACUGUGUUGGAACGACGGCGACAAGAAACAUGCUUAAAAGCAGCUCAAAAGAAAACGGAUGGUAUAGAGACCGAUUGCGUCCAGAGGUGAAGCAGCGGUACUUGGAAAAAAAAGUGUGCAUCGCAAAUCUGGACCCAUAUGAAAUACGGCAGUGGAGUAAAGACCCAGACGACUUACCGCCACUGUCCUACCCCGAUAUCUUCACGUAUCUUGUUUGUGGAGUAAGCGCUUACACAGCGAACCAGUUUCGUAAUUACAAGUCGCUGGAGGCGCACAUCCAAGUUACAAACGGCUGGGUGCAAGAUUUGGCUAUUUUCAAGCCGCCAAACUCUGAGUACAUCGUCAUUCAUACCAAGGUACUGCACUCCCAAAGAUUGAAUGAACCAUGGGUAAUUGUAAGCACCACGGGAAAGAUCGAAGCCGCACACUGCACCUGUAUGGCCGGAGUUGCUGAGACCUGCACCCAUGUUGCUGCACUUCUGUUUAAAGUGGAGGCAACAGUGAGGAUCCGUGGCACAAAGACAGUCACAGAUGAACCAGCCUACUGGGUUUUGCCGGGGAACACAACCAAGAUACAGCCAGAGGUUGGCCAUAACAUUGACUUUACAUCUUCAGCAGUACAAAAAAAGACUCUUGAUGAAAAUAUAAACGGACCGUCUGUGGUGAAAGGCAGAAGAAGCAGUCCUUCAAAAAGAAAGAUUCCUUCUGCUACGUUUGAGGAGUUGUCACCAGUGUUAGACACACUUCAAAAACACAAUAAAGCAGUGUGUUUGUCUGGAUUGGAGAAAUACUACACAUCACACACUGUAAAGUCAUCCACAUUACCACUGUCUCUGGCGUGUUUGCACAACACGGGUGCACAGUCCCUUGGCCUUACCGAGCUACAACUGCACUGUGAAAAGUACGUAAACGCAGCAAAAGUUACUGAAGAACAUGCAGGAGCUAUUGAGGUACGCACAAGACUGCAACACAAGAGCCCAGAAU